AUUGAACGCUGGCGGCAGGCCUAACACAUGCAAGUCGAACGAACUCUUCGGAGUGAGUGGCGGACGGGUGAGUAACGCGUGAGAAUCUGGCUGUGGGUCGGGGACAACCACUGGAAACGGUGGCGUAAUACCGGAUGAGCCGAAAGGUAAAGAUUUAUUGCCCACAGAUGAGCUCGCGUCUGAUUAGCUAGUUGGUAAGGUAAAAGCGUACCAAGGCGACGAUCAGUAGGCUGGUCUGAGAGGAUGAGCAGCCACACUGGGACUGAGACACGGCCCAGACCUCCUACGGGAGGCAGCAGUGGGGAAUAUUGCACAAUGGGGGAAACCCUGAUG
rnacentral:rRNA from 1 species